UCCUACGGGAGGCAGCAGUAGGGAAUAUUGGACAAUGGGUGCGAGCCUGAUCCAGCCAUGCCGCGUGCAGGAAGACGGCCUUCUGGGUUGUAAACUGCUUUUGCCAGGGGAUAAAAAAUUGAAGGUACCUGGUGAAUAAGCCACGGCUAACUACGUGCCAGCAGCCGCGGUAAUACGUAGGUGGCAAGCGUUGUCCGGAUUUAUUGGGUUUAAAGGGUGCGUAGGCGGCAGCUUAACUGUCGAACUUGAGUACAGACGAGGUAGGCGGAAUUGACGGUGUAGCGGUGAAAUGCUUAGAUAUCGUCAAGAACACCGAUAGCGAAGGCAGCUUACUAGACUGUAACUGACACUGAAUCAAACAGGAUUAGAUACCCUGGUAGUCCACACUGUAAACGAUGAUUACUCGAUGUUGGCGAUACACAGCCAGCGUCUUAGCGAAAGCGAUAAGUAAUCCACCUGGGGUGAAACUCAAAGGAAUUGACGG
rnacentral:rRNA from 1 species